GCGUGAAUGGUGUAGCGGUAACAUUGGGUCUUCCCACUUAUGCGAGGUUGGCCUAGCUCGGGGUUCGACUCCCCGUUCACGCA